CAUUUGUGCUUGCACAAGAUGACGACCGGCGCACGGGUGCGCACCGCGUAUGGAACCUGCCUUGUACAGGGGAAUAGCCCAGGGAAACUUGGAUUAAUGCCCCGUAGUACCGUGGCCCGGCAUCGGGAUACGGUUAAAGCCUUCGGGCGGUACAAGAUGGCCAUGCGUCCCAUUAGCUGGUUGGUAAGGUAACGGCUUACCAAGGCUACGAUGGGUAGGGGCCCUGAGAGGGGGAUCCCCCACACUGGUACUGAGACACGGACCAGACUCCUACGGGAGGCAGCAGUGAGGAAUAUUGGACAAUGGAGGAGACUCUGAUCCAGCCAUGCCGCGUGCAGGAAGAAUGCCCUAUGGGUAGUAAACUGCUUUUAUACGGGAAGAAAAAGAGCUACGUGUAGCUUACUGACGGUACCGUAAGAAUAAGGACCGGCUAACUCCGUGCCAGCAGCCGCGGUAAUACGGAGGGUCCGAGCGUUAUCCGGAAUUAUUGGGUUUAAAGGGUCCGUAGGCGGGCCGAUAAGUCAGGGGUGAAAGUCUGCCGCUCAACGGUAGAACUGCCUUUGAUACUGUCGGUCUUGAGUUAUAGUGAAGUUGCCGGAAUAUGUAGUGUAGCGGUGAAAUGCAUAGAUAUUACAUAGAACACCGAUUGCGAAGGCAGGUGACUAACUAUAUACUGACGCUGAUGGACGAAAGCGUGGGGAGCGAACAGGAUUACAUACCCUGGUAGUCCACGCCGUAAACGAUGGAUACUAACUGUCCGGAACCUUGAGUUCUGGGCUGGCAAUCGAAAGUGAUAAGUAUCCCACCUGGGGAGUACG
rnacentral:rRNA from 1 species